rnacentral:rRNA from 1 species
GACAGAGGGUGCAAACGUUGUUCGGAAUUACUGGGCGUAAAGCGCGUGUAGGCGGCUAAGCAAGUCGGGCGUGAAAUCCCAUGGCUCAACCAUGGAAGUGCACCCGAAACUGCAUAGCUAGAGUCCUGGAGAGGAAGGUGGAAUGCUUGGUGUAGAGGUGAAAUUCGUAGAUAUCAAGCGGAACACCGGUGGCGAAGGCGGCCUUCUGGACAGUGACUGACGCUGAGGUGCGAAAGCGUGGGGAGCAAACAGG